rnacentral:rRNA from 1 species
AUUGAACGCUGGCGGCAUGCCUUACACAUGCAAGUCGAACGGCAGCACGGGAGCUUGCUCCUGGUGGCGAGUGGCGAACGGGUGAGUAAUACAUCGGAACGUACCCAGGAGUGGGGGAUAACGUAGCGAAAGUUACGCUAAUACCGCAUAUUCUGUGAGCAGGAAAGCGGGGGAUCGCAAGACCUCGCGCUCUUGGAGCGGCCGAUGUCGGAUUAGCUAGUUGGUGAGGUAAAAGCUCACCAAGGCGACGAUCCGUAGCAGGUCUGAGAGGAUGAUCUGCCACACUGGGACUGAGACACGGCCCAGACUCCUACGGGAGGCAGCAGUGGGGAAUUUUGGACAAUGGGGGCAACCCUGAUUCAGCCAUGCCGCGUGAGUGAAGAAGGCCUUCGGGUUGUAAAGCUCUUUCGGCGGGGAAGAAAUGGCAACGGCUAAUAUCCGUUGUUGAUGACGGUACCCGCAUAAGAAGCACCGGCUAACUACGUGCCAGCAGCCGCUGUAAUAC